rnacentral:rRNA from 1 species
UAAUACGGAGGGUGCGAGCGUUAAUCGGAAUUACUGGGCGUAAAGCGUGCGUAGGUGGCUUGGUAAGUCGGAUGUGAAAGCCCUGGGCUCAACCUGGGAACUGCAUUCGAUACUGCCAGGCUAGAGUAUGGUAGAGGGAAGUGGAUUUUCCGGUGUAGCGGUGAAAUGCGUAGAUAUCGGAAGGAACACCAGUGGCGAAGGCGGCUUCCUGGACCAAUACUGACACUGAGGUACGAAAGCGUGGGGAGCAAACAGGAUUAGAUACCCUGGUAGUCCACGCCCUAAACGAUGUCAACUAGCCGUUGGAGGAAUUUAAUCCUUUAGUGGCGCAGCUAACGCGUUAAGUUGACCGCCUGGGGAGUACGGUCGCAAGAUUA